rnacentral:snRNA from 1 species
AUCGCUUCUCGGCCUUUUGGCUAAGAUAAAGUGUAGUAUCAACUACAUAGUGAGGCCUUGUCUCCAAUAAAUAAAUAAAUAAAUAAAUUAAUUAAAAUAAAAUAAAAUGUUAUCGUUAGAGCUGGGCCUAAUGGUGCACACCUGUAAUCCUAGCACUGGGA